CAACAAGUGCUCUAAUCUUUGCAACAUUAGAGUAGUAAUUAAUAGAUUAGACGUGGUGUUUAGUCUUGCAAUUACCUGGAAUUACACACAAUCCUGUGGAUUGUUGUGGUAGCCUUAGGGUAGUGACAGCCCUAACGGUCGACGUAUUCCACCUCGUUCGGAUCGGUGUUUGUAGGACCGUAGUCAGACCUUCCUAGCCCCCUUCUCAUCUCUUUCUGUGGUUAGUGCUCUGAUGUCCCGAAAUAGAUAAUCUUGAAGUAAUUCUUGAUUC
rnacentral:lncRNA from 1 species